AUUGAACGCUGGCGGCAGGCCUAACACAUGCAAGUCGAACGGUAACAGGAAGAAGCUUGCUUCUUUGCUGACGAGUGGCGGACGGGUGAGUAAUGUCUGGGAAACUGCCUGAUGGAGGGGGAUAACUACUGGAAACGGUAGCUAAUACCGCAUAAUGUCGCAAGACCAAAGAGGGGGACCUUCGGGCCUCUUGCCAUCGGAUGUGCCCAGAUGGGAUUAGCUAGUAGGUGGGGUAACGGCUCACCUAGGCGACGAUCCCUAGCUGGUCUGAGAGGAUGACCAGCCACACUGGAACUGAGACACGGUCCAGACUCCUACGGGAGGCAGCAGUGGGGAAUAUUGCACAAUGGGCGCAAGCCUGAUGCAGCUAUGCCGCGUGUAUGAAGAAGGCCUUCGGGUUGUAAAGUACUUUCAGCGGGGAGGAAGGGAGUAAAGUUAAUACCUUUGCUCAUUGACGCUACCCGCAGAAGAAGCACCGGCUAACUCCGUG
rnacentral:rRNA from 1 species